AUUGAACGCUAGCGGCAUGCCUUACACAUGCAAGUCGAACGGCAGCACGGGGGCAACCCUGGUGGCGAGUGGCGAACGGGUGAGUAAUGCAUCGGAACGUGCCCAUCGAUGGGGGAUAACUGCGCGAAAGCGUUGCUAAUACCGCAUACGACCUACGGGUGAAAGCAGGGGACCGCAAGGCCUUGCGUCGAUGGAGCGGCCGAUGCCGGAUUAGCUAGUUGGUGAGGUAAAGGCUCACCAAGGCGACGAUCCGUAGCUGGUCUGAGAGGACGACCAGCCACACUGGGACUGAGACACGGCCCAGACUCCUACGGGAGGCAGCAGUGGGGAAUCUUGGACAAUGGGCGAAAGCCUGAUCCAGCAAUGCCGCGUGUGGGAAGAAGGCCUUCGGGUUGUAAACCACUUUUGGCGGGAAAGAAAUGGUCUGUGCUAAUACCACGGAUUGAUGACGGUACCCGCAGAAUAAGCACCGGCUAACUACGUG
rnacentral:rRNA from 1 species